UUUUUAUUAAACUUAAUUUUAUUGGCGGUUUAUCAUACUUUCACAGGAAUUUGUUAAAUUUGAUUGAUACCCCGCUUUUAUUAUUACUUUUGUUUUUUUUUUAUGUACGGCUGUUUUUAUUUUAAUUUGGAUUUUUUUAUUAUAAAGUUAUUUUUUUAUUUCAGGUCAAUGUGUAGAAUAUACAUUAGUUUUUAAUGAGUUACUUUAAUAGGAUAGUUGUUUUAUUUUUUUUUGAAAUUGGAUGUGUUAGUAAAACUUUUUAAUAAAAUUUGGUUUUGAUGAAGUAAUUGAUUGAAGUACAUAUCGCCCGUCACUCUUUUGAUAG
rnacentral:rRNA from 1 species